UGACACGUAGGCUCCAAGCGUUGUCCGGAUUUAUUGGGCGUAAAGAGCUCGUAGGCGGUUGAGUAAGUCGGGUGUGAAAACUCUGGGCUUAACCCGGAGACGCCAUCCGAUACUGCUCUGACUUGAGUUCAGGAGGGGAGUGGGGAAUUCCUAGUGUAGCGGUGAAAUGCGCAGAUAUUAGGAGGAACACCGGUGGCGAAGGCGCCACUCUGGACUGAAACUGACGCUGAGGAGCGAAAGCAUGGGUAGCAAACAGG
rnacentral:rRNA from 1 species